AAAUCCGUUGACUUUUAAAAUCGUGAGG
rnacentral:tRNA from 11 species